CAUGAUAACUGAUAUAGGGCAAGGUGCUUUCAAUGGUAUGGCAAGUCUUCGAAAGUUGGAUUUGUCUUCAAAAAAAAUAACUCAUCUAAAGGAUGGUGCCUUCAAUGGUUUGACAAGCCUCCAAUCGUUGAAAUUGAGUGGUAACAAAGUAACUGAUCUGAAACAUGGUGUAUUCAAUGGUUUGAAAAGUCUUGAAGAGCUGUAAGUGACAAUAUUCUAAUAUCUCUAAUAAUCUGUUCUUGAACAUUAAUUAUUGUAUGUGUCUGAUUAACCAGUGUAGGAUUUGUUUUUAUAUAUCAAUCGAUUGCAAACCACUCUCUAAAUUCACGUAUUAACGGUAAUACACCACUCGCGUUAUCGAUCACAAGCACAUUAUAUUAAUUACAAAAUUAAUAAUUGAGUACACAUCGUGA